rnacentral:rRNA from 1 species
AGAUUGAACGCUGGCGGCAUGCCUUACACAUGCAAGUCGAACGGCAGCACGGGGGCAACCCUGGUGGCGAGUGGCGAACGGGUGAGUAAUGCAUCGGAACGUGCCCAGUAGUGGGGGAUAACUAGUCGAAAGAUUAGCUAAUACCGCAUACGACCUAUGGGUGAAAGGCGGGGGAUUCGCAAGAACCUCGCGCUAUCGGAGCGGCCGAUGUCUGAUUAGCUAGUUGGACGGGGUAAAGCCCACAAGGCUUACGAUCAGUAGCUGGUCUGAGAGGACGACCAGCCACACUGGGACUGAGACACGGCCCAGACUCGUACGGGAGCAGCAGGUGGGUAAUUUGGACAGUGGGCGUACAAGUCCUGAC